AGUUGCGCAGCUUGCGCCGUGACCUUUGUUGCCAUGGUAAUCAUGGCUGUACCUUGAACCUGAAGUUCUUGCUUCCGGUUGACCUUAGGUAUUUAGGGGCCUAUCAGUUUAUGCUAAUGAGUAGAGCCCACGGUCUACAUUUAAUUACGAAGGGGUCCUCAUCUUUACGAUAAGAUGUUUUAAAAAUUAAUCGCGUUUUAUUUCUUGUAUUUUGUUUGAAACAUCACCAAGGAUUAGUGUGCUCAAAUAUAAGAAACUUGCAUUCUAUUUCAUCCAAGGAGUCUAGAUCUAGUCUAGAUCUUGUAAAAAUAGCAAGACUAACCCAGUGUAAGGAGGAUUGCUAAUGACCUAAUGUAAUCAGAAACUUGAUGGCUGAGAUAAAGCGGCUGAGGAGAACAGAGGCUUGUGAGUGGAUUAGGUUGGUGGAACUUGUGUACAGCCCUAUCUAUGUUCAAUGUCUCAGGUGGAAGUUCAUUUAGUAGUUUUCAUGGAGAUCCAGCUUUUAUUCAAGGCUCAUCUUAAAGAGAAUGAUGUGGCUGCUGGGACAUAACUUAAGUCUACAUUCAACUGCUUGCAGAUCUCAAGAAGCCUGGGGUUCUCGUCCAGCGCUGCAAGCACUCAGGCUGAUUGGGAAGUUAAUUUCUGGUCCUUUGAUAAAGUUGAUUUACAAGAACGCAAAGUGGCGAUCAGUUGUACUCUGUUUCUUAAAGUCAUGGAAGCGUUGUUGACUUCUACUGAGCCUUUCUUGGUGCGACAGCUGGAGAGGUUUCUGAUGGGAAAUCUGAUUGGUGGCCAGUUGACUCAUAAGUGGGAGCAAGGUGAUCAGGGUGUGUCGCAAUACAGUGGAAGGACUAUUGAAAGGGUGCCAGCAACAAAACAAAAGUCAGCUCUUUACACCAUAAGCUACUGGGCAGAUGAUUAGGAUAAUGCUGAGAAUCUGUCAUCUGGCAGAAUCACUGGUUGUUGACUUGCUUUGUAAGAAUCUUGUUUUUCUUACUGAAUAAUUGCUAAUCAAGAGUUACAGAGUACUUCUUUCAUUUGUAGUAUACAAAUUAACUUUAUUUUUUUAACA